rnacentral:rRNA from 1 species
GAUCCUGGCUCAGGACGAACGCUGGCGGCGCGCCUAACACAUGCAAGUCGAACGAAGUUUCAUAACGGAAGUUUUCGGAUGGAAGAUAUGAAACUUAGUGGCGGACGGGUGAGUAACACGUGAGCAACCUGCCUUUCAGAGGGGGAUAACGUUUGGAAACGAACGCUAAUACCGCAUAACGUAGUCGAUCGGCAUCGAUUGACUACCAAAGGAGCAAUCCGCUGAAAGAUGGGCUCGCGUCCGAUUAGA